AGGGGAUUCGAUUAACGGUUAGGUCGCCAUAUUUACACUAUGGAAGCAGAGGUUCGAUUCCUUUAUUCCCUA